GGUGAGUAACACGUGGAUAACCUACCUAUAAGACUGGGAUAACUUCGGGAAACCGGAGCUAAUACCGGAUAAUAUUUUGAACCGCAUGGUUCAAAAGUGAAAGACGGUCUUGCUGCCACUUAUAGAUGGAUCCGCGCUGCAUUAGCUAGUUGGUAAGGUAACGGCUUACCAAGGCAACGAUGCAUAGCCGACCUGAGAGGGUGAUCGGCCACACUGAAACUGAGACACGGUCCAG
rnacentral:rRNA from 1 species